AGAAUCAACGCUGGCGGCGUGCCUCAGACAUGCAAGUCGAACGAUUAAACUUUCCUUCGGGGAAGAUAUAAAGUGGCGCACGGGUGAGUAACACGUAGAUAAUGUACCUUUGGGUGGGGAAUAACAGUCGGAAACGACUGCUAAUACCGCAUAAUGCAGCAGCAUCGCAAGAUGCAGUUGUUAAAGAAGCAAUUCGCCUAAAGAGCAGUCUGCGGCAGAUUAGCUAGUUGGUAAGGUAAUGGCUUACCAAGGCUACGAUCU
rnacentral:rRNA from 1 species